GUGAAAGUACAGCUAACGUGAUACGGGAAAAAUGCUUUUUUGAAAUGGUGAAGUCAAUUUUGGUGAUCGAUUUACAGAUAUGGAUGAUGGAAUUUAUAUCUGCUACUGAAAUGGAGGGAAUGGCGGAAUAAAUGAUUUUUUUGCCACCUGGGAAACGGAGCUGAAAUUUAGGAGACUUUGAACAUGUGAACACGUUAUCGAGAACACGUUGCAGCUGUUCAUGCGCUUGUUUGUUCUCUUCACCUGUAUUGCUGAUCUGUUAUGACCAAAAGCAUUGCGCACACAUUUCUUUGCGCAUGUACGGUGGAAGCAAAGGUUCACGCGCACUUCUGUUUUUGUGAUGCGUAAGUAUGAGCAAUCGCCAGUUUGAGACUGGUGCGUACAUGGAUAUAUUUUCAUUUUGUGAAUUAAACCAAAAGAAAACUAGAUAAAUUCGAAUUCA